UGGGGAAUUUUAGACAAUGGGCGAAAGCCUGAUCCAGCAAUGCCGCGUGUGUGAAGAAGGCCUUCGGGUUGUAAAGCACUUUUGUCCGGAAAGAAAUGGCUCUGGUUAAUACCUGGGGUCGAUGACGGUACCGGAAGAAUAAGGACCGGCUAACUACGUGCCAGCAGCCGCGGUAAUACGUAGGGUCCAAGCGUUAAUCGGAAUUACUGGGCGUAAAGCGUGCGCAGGCGGUUGUGCAAGACCGAUGUGAAAUCCCCGAGCUUAACUUGGGAAUUGCAUUGGUGACUGCACGGCUAGAGUGUGUCAGAGGGGGGUAGAAUUCCACGUGUAGCAGUGAAAUGCGUAGAGAUGUGGAGGAAUACCGAUGGCGAAGGCAGCCCCCUGGGAUAACACUGACGCUCAUGCACGAAAGCGUGGGGAGCAAACAGG
rnacentral:rRNA from 1 species